AGGGAUUUAGGAUAGCAUCUAGACCAAGGGCCUUCAAAGCCCUAAGCAGAAGUGAGAAUCUUCUAGUCCCUG
rnacentral:tRNA from 1 species